rnacentral:rRNA from 1 species
AUUGAACGCUGGCGGCAGGCUUAACACAUGCAAGUCGAGCGGGGACUUCGGUCCUAGCGGCGAACGGGUGAGGAAUGCUUGGGAAUCUGCCCAGUAGCGGGGGAUAACGUUUCGAAAGGAACGCUAAUACCGCAUACGCCCUACGGGGGAAAGGGGGGAUCUUCGGACCUCUCACUAUUGGAUGAGCCCAAGUCGGAUUAGCUAGUUGGUGGGGUAAAGGCCUACCAAGGCGACGAUCCGUAGCUGGUCUGAGAGGAUGAUCAGCCACACUGGAACUGAGACACGGUCCAGACUCCUACGGGAGGCAGCAGUGGGGAAUAUUGGACAAUGGGCGAAAGCCUGAUCCAGCCAUGCCGCGUGUGUGAAGAAGGCCUUCGGGUUGUAAAGCACUUUAAGCGAGGAGGAAUGGCUCUUGGUUAAUAACCUUGAGCAGUGACGUUACUCGCAGAAUAAGCACCGGCUAACUCUGUGCCAGCAGCCGCAGUAAAAC